rnacentral:sRNA from 1 species
GGUCUCAGACAAGGGCGUUCCAGUACGUCAGUGAUCUAGUGAAUGGCCUCGUGGCUCUCAUGAACAGCAACGUCAGCAGCCCGGUCAACCUGGUGAGUGCUCCUCUCCCUCCACUCUGCAGGACAGCUCAGACUUUCGUUCAUUUGUGAAACCAUGAGCAGCACCAGGCUUUGCUUCAUUUGCCAUCGGCACACUUAGGACAUUUGUGUUUGUUGCUUGCUAAAUACUAGAGGAAAAACAAACACAAAGUAAGAGUAUACAAAGAAGUAAAAUAUCUGCAAGGCAUGGGUGAGUGAUGUAAUCAGUCCCUCCACCUUCUGAAGGACCCGGGUCUAAAAUUGUGUGAAGCCUUUUGGUGGUAGUAGGUGGACAU